UCAGAAAAUGUGGCCAGAGGGUCAGAGGGU
rnacentral:piRNA from 1 species